UCUCCACCCUUGACCUUCACCUGCACCAGCCUCAGCCUAUAGCUGGCCUAGACCAGCAUGGUCAACUCCUUGGUUUCUCCGCUUCCACCCACGCUGCGCUCCAUGUGGCCAGAGGGUUCUAAACUCUUGCAGUUCCUCAAUGCACAAGGGGGCCUGGUCAGCUGAGCCUGGCACCUGCCCAGCCUUCUCUAAGCCUCAGCUAAAAUUCUAUACCACAUACUUCUAGACACUGGCAUGCGCAGGGGCCUGUUGUUGCAACCCCUCAUGUGGUGAAUCUCCCUCAGAGCCCUCAGACAUCAGUUCCCGCCCCUUCUUGCCUUCUUUGGUAAUCUGGGGCAGGAAGCACUUGGGGCGGGUCAUUGUGGCUCACGCGUAUAAUCCUAGCACUUUGGGAUGCUGAGGUAGGAGGAUCGCUUGAGCCCAGACGUUCAAGAGCAGCCUAGGCUCUACAAAAAAGUCCUACAAAGCUCAGUUUUCAAAGCAUAUUUCUGGCCGGGUGUGGUGGUGCACGCCUGUAGCAGCCAGCUACUUGGGAGGCUGAGGCAGGAGAAUUGCUUGAACCCGGAAUGCAGAGAGUUUGCAGUGAGCCCAGAUUGCACCACUGGACUCCAACCUGGGCGACAGAGCGAGACUCUGUCUCAAAAAAAGAAAAAAAGAAAACAGAAAAGGAAAUGCUAGUGUG
rnacentral:lncRNA from 10 species